rnacentral:rRNA from 1 species
UACGUAGGGCGCAAGCGUUGUCCGGAAUUAUUGGGCGUAAAGAGCUCGUAGGCGGCCAGUUGCGUCUGCUGUGAAAUCCCGGGGCUCAACCCCGGGCGUGCAGUGGAUACGGGCUGGCUAGAGGCAGGCAGGGGAGAACGGAAUUCCCGGUGUAGCGGUGAAAUGCGCAGAUAUCGGGAGGAACACCGGUGGCGAAGGCGGUUCUCUGGGCCUUACCUGACGCUGAGGAGCGAAAGCGUGGGGAGCGAACAGG